rnacentral:lncRNA from 1 species
UUGUGAGGACCCGUUCGACUACGUUGGUUCGUCUACUUCAUGGACUCGUUCUUCUUCCUAGCGGGAUUUCAGGCAAGAUGACGGUCACCUUGGAUCUCACUACUAUAUUUGUUGUGCUAGUUAUCUCGAUGCCAUCGUUAUGUCGUGCUACCUACCACUUGUUUAUCAAGCCUCCCAAAUUGCCAUGAUAGCCUCUAGCCUUUUCACCCUUCCUAGCAAACCGUUGUUUGGCUAUGUUACCGCUUUGCUCAGCCCCUCUUAUAGCGUUGCUAGUUGCAGGUGCAGUUGCAGGUUGUUCCAUGUUGGGACAUGGAUAUCAUGGAUAUCAUGGGAUAUCACAAUAUCUCUUAUUUAAUUAAUGCAUCUAUAUACUUGGUAAAGGGUGGAAGGCUCGGCCUUUUGCCUGGUGUUUUGUUCCACUCUUGCCGCCUUAGUUUUCGUCAUACCGGUGUUAUGUUCCGUGAUUUUGCGUCGCUAACAUGGUGAGGGUUUAUGGGCCCCUCUUGACAGUUCGCUUUGAAUAAAACUCUUCCAGCAAGGCCCAACAUUGGUUUUACCAUUUGCCUAAUAACAACUAAAAACUUGCAUAGGGACCUACCGGCCCCCGAGGUCUCUUAAUCAACCCCCCCAGGCCAGUGCUCCUCAUGAGUGUUGGUCCAACCUGUCAACUGCCGAUGGCCGCCAGGGGCAACUCUAUGAUUGGCCUACCAGAAGUUUGGACAAUCCGGUUAUGACUCGAGACGAGAUACGCGUGGCUACUAUCAGGGUGUCGGCACGCCGGGAGGUCUUGCUGGACUUGCUUUACCAUUGUCGAAAUGUCUUGUGCACCGGGAUUCCGAGUCCGAUCGGAGGGUCCCGUGAUGAAGGAUUGUCUCCGCGGAUCUUGAGCUUGUCAUGGGCUAUGUUGGGACACCCCUGCAGGGUUUAAACUUUCGAGAGUCGUGCCCGUGAUUAUGUGGCAGAUGGGAAUUUGUUAAUAUCCGGUUGUAGUAAACUUGAAGUAAAUUCAAUAAAAUACACCAACCGCGUGCGUAACCGUGAUUGUCUCUUUUCAGGGAAGUUCGAGAGGAGAACACGGUUGGGUUAUGUUUGAACGUAAGUAGUUCAGGAUCACUUAUUGAUCAUUAAUAGUUUACGACCGUUUGCAUAGUUUCUCAUCUUACUCUUGUACCCGUAUGUUAGCCAUCAUACAUGCUUAGCCGCUUGCUGCAACCUCACCACUUAUCCUUUUCCAUACCCAUUAACCUUUGCUAGUCUUGAUACCCAUGGUAAUGGGAUUGCUGAGUCCUCAUGGCUCACAGAUUACUACAACAACAGUUGCAGGUACAGGUAAUGCGAUGAUCUGACACAAGUGUGAUGCUUGCUUGUUUGGAGUUCUCCUUCUUUGACCAAGGGAUAUGUUCCUGGUGGGGGAGCCUGGGAUUAGUAGGGUGGAUAUCGUUCUCCUUUUUCGUUUGAUUUCAUCCGUAGUAGGAUCCUGCUCUUCUGUAUGAUGGUUGCUAUCUAUUGAUGUAUUGUUGUAUGAAUGUUGUAACUUGUGGCGAGUGUAAGCCUUUAUAUUGUAUUCUCAUCUAUUCAAUACAUGGUAUGUUGUAAUGAUAUCCACCUUGUUAUGCACCCAAAAUGCGAUUGUGCCCCGAGCAUGUCAUCUCGUGAUUGGGAUAGAAUCGCAUCUUGGGUGCGACAAUGCAUUAGAG